rnacentral:rRNA from 1 species
CUGGCUCAGGAUGAACGCUAGCGACAGGCCUAACACAUGCAAGUCGAGGGGCAGCGCGGGAGAAGCUUGCUUUCCUGGCGGCGACCGGCGCACGGGUGCGUAACAGGUGUGCAAUCUGUCCAUAGUCGGGGAAUAGCCCAGCGAAAGUUGGAUUAAUGCUCCAUGUGAAUCGAAGCCGCAUGACUUUGAUUUGAAACGUAAGGACUAUGGGUGAGCACGCUUCUGAUUAGAUAGUUGGUGGGGUAACGGCUCACCAAGUCGACGAUCAGUAGGGGUUCUGAGAGGAAGGUCCCCCACAUUGGAACUGAGACACGGUCCAAACUCCUACGGGAGGCAGCAGUGAGGAAUAUUGGUCAAUGGGCGAGAGCCUGAACCAGCCAAGUCGCCGUGAAGGAUGAAGGUUCUAUGGAUUGUAAACUUCUUUUGUCCGAGGGUAAAAAAGGCUACGUGUAGCUUCUUGCAAGUAUCGGACGAAUAAGCAUCGGCUAACUCCGUGCCAGCCGCGGC